rnacentral:rRNA from 1 species
CCUACGGGUGACAGCAGUGAGGAAUAUUGGUCAAUGGCCGGGAGGCUGAACCAGCCAAGUCGCGUGAGGGAAGACGGCCCUACGGGUUGUAAACCUCUUUUGUCAGGGAGCAAGGUGCAGGUCGGGACCUGCUGUGAGAGUACCUGAAGAAAAAGCAUCGGCUAACCCCGUGCCAGCAGCCGCGGUACUGCGGUGGAUGCGAGCGUUAUCGGGAUUUAUGGGGUUGAAAGGGUGCGCAGGCGGAGGCACAAGUCAGCGGUAAAAUCGCGGGGCCCAACCCCGCUCCGCCGUUGAGACUGUGUCGCUUGAGUGCGCGAAGGGUAGGUGGAAUGCGUGGUGUAGCGGUGAAAUGCAUAGAUAUCACGCAGAACUCCGAUGGCGAAGGCAGCCUACCGGCGCGCAACUGACGCUCAUGCACGAAAGCGUGGGUAUCGAACAGGAUUAGAUACCCUUGUAGUC